CCUACGGGAGGCCGCAGUGAGGAAUAUUGGUCAAUGGGCGCGAGCCUGAACCAGCCAAGUAGCGUGAAGGCUGACUGCCCUACGGGUUGUAAACUUCUUUUAUAAAGGAAUAACGUGAGGCCCGUGUGCCUUUUUGUAUGUACUUUAUGAAUAAGGAUCGGCUAACUCCGUGCCAGCAGCCGCGUUAAUACGGAGGAUCCGAGCGUUAUCCGGAUUUCUUGGGUUUAAAGGGAGCGUAGAUGGGUUGUUAAGUCAGUUGUGAAAGGUUGCGGCUCAACCGUAAAAUUGCAAUUGAUACUGGCAGCCUUGAGUACAGUUGAGGUAGGCGGAAUUCGUGGUGUAGCGGUGAAAUGCUUAGAGAUCACGAAGAACUCCGAUUGCGAAGGCAGCUUACUAAACUGCCACUGACAUUGAUGCUCGAAAGUGUGGGUAUCAAACAGGAGUAGAGACCCGGGUAGUC
rnacentral:rRNA from 1 species